rnacentral:rRNA from 1 species
CGUAGGGUGCAAGCGUUAAUCGGAAUUACUGGGCGUAAAGCGUGCGCAGGCGGUUAUGUAAGACAGUUGUGAAAUCCCCGGGCUCAACCUGGGAACUGCAUCUGUGACUGCAUAGCUAGAGUACGGUAGAGGGGAUGGAAUUCCGCGUGUAGCAGUGAAAUGCGUAGAUAUGCGGAGGAACACCGAUGGCGAAGGCAAUCCCCUGGACCUGUACUGACGCUCAUGCACGAAAGCGUGGGGAGCAAACAGGAUUAGAUACCCUGGUAGUCCACGCCCUAAACGAUGUCAACUGGUUGUUGGGUCUUUACUGACUCAGUAACGAAGCUAACGCGUGAAGUUGACCGCCUGGGGAGUACGGCCGCAAGGUUG